rnacentral:rRNA from 1 species
AAUGAACGCUGGCGGCGUGCCUAAUACAUGCAAGUCGAGCGAACGGACGAGAAGCUUGCUUCUCUGAUGUUAGCGGCGGACGGGUGAGUAACACGUGGAUAACCUACCUAUAAGACUGGGAUAACUUCGGGAAACCGGAGCUAAUACCGGAUAAUAUUUUGAACCGCAUGGUUCAAAAGUGAAAGACGGUCUUGCUGUCACUUAUAGAUAGAUCCGCGCUGCAUUAGCUAGUUGGUAAGGUAACGGCUUACCAAGGCAACGAUGCAUAGCCGACCUGAGAGGGUGAUCGGCCACACUGGAACUGAGACACGGUCCAGACUCCUACGGGAGGCAGCAGUAGGGAAUCUUCCGCAAUGGGCGAAAGCCUGACGGAGCAACGCCGCGUGAGUGAUGAAGGUCUUCGGAUCGUAAAACUCUGUUAUUAGGGAAGAACAUAUGUGUAAGUAACUGUGCACAUCUUGACGGUACCUAAUCAGAAAGUCACGGCUAACUACGUG